UUUUCAUUCUUUUUAUCCCUUCUUUUAGCUGGAAAACUUAGAAGGAAAUGAAUCAUGUUACAAUCUUAGUGGCUAAUUAGCUAGCUGCUUCUGAUAACAGAGCCAAGGGGUUUCUUUGGUGGAGGACUCUCUUUCUUCCCCUGAUGCCUGAGCUCUCUUAACCAGACUAACUGAUUUGUGCAGGGUGUGACUCAGUGGCACCAUGUGUCACACAAAACGUCUCGUGAAACGAAUAUACCUGUGAUCCACCAACCUCGUGGUAGGUGAAAAUUUGUGUUGACCCCUUUUGCACAAUCUUAGGAAUGCAGAGAGGAAAUCCAAUAUUAAAAAAAACAAACAUUUUUUUUCCCCUAAAAAUUGCAUACAGCAUGGGAAUUAGCUGAUAAAGAAGAAAAGGAGGGGGUUAGUUACCCUAUUAUUCUAUCCGAGUUCUUCUGUGGUAACAAGAGUAGGAGUUACCUGAGGAGGCACGUCACGGAGCAUAGUGACGUCAUCUCAGGUAAGACAAUGGAGAAUCCGUUUCCCUGGUUGAGCAUAUGGUGAGCACCCAGCACCUCCAGAUAGCAUGAGGCUUGCUGGGGAGCAGCGCUGAGCGAGGCAGAUCGGAUCCUCGGCUUGGCGGAGCUCGUCCUCAUGACAUAGGCGGAUGUGUGUGGAGAGCCGAAGGAUUCCUCCAAGUGCCUAGAACAGUGCAUGACACAUACUAGAUUCUCGAUGGGGUUGGUACGAUCUUGUCACACCAACAUUAGAAAGUCUGAUGUUCCUGACUCCUACUCUUACCUGCCAUAUCCUCCAAAUCCCCUGAAAAUUUCACUUUUUUUUUUUUUUUUUGGAAAUUACCCAGAAUGUGUCACUACGCAAAUCUGGCAGAUUCCUCCCUUUGUGGCCCAGACCUGCUCGCGGGCGUCCUCUGCCAGUGGAGGGUGCUCGCCAUUGACUCCUUACUGGGCAAUCGGCCUCCAGCAGGAUGAUCAUGUGCUUUGUGCCAAGUGUAGUGUCUCCUAAUGCCUGAAAUGCACAUCUGUGUCCUCCACUUUGUGCCUCGUUUCAUCACAGAAACUCCAAAGCAGUGAUGCUCAUGCCGUGGGUCCCUCAGACUCACUUUUGAGAAGUCUAUCUUCAGAUUCUGCGAGCAGCGCUCUUUCCAUAGAGCCCUAACACGGUUUCCAAGCGGGACGAGGACACACGGUGACCCUUGUCGCCCUCUUCCUUUCCUCUUCUCUUCUUUUGUAGACUGAUGCUCAGACCUGGGCGAUGCAGAAUGGCCCAAGCCUCCAGAGGCCGAAUAGACUUGAUAGCAACAGGCUCCAUGAGUAAACUACAAAGCUAGACUGUACCAGGGGACGAUACUGUUACUAUCGUGAGGGCAGCAAUUUCUUUUUUCUUUUCUUUUCUUUUUUUUUUAGGGCAGCAAUUUCUAAUCUAAAUCCCGCCUUUAAAUCUGACUCUCUUUACAGAAGUUAUUUUUCCUAAUUUCAGAAAAGUGAGUGCUCAUAAUAAGCAAACCUCCUGAAUAGGUCAAGGGGACGUAAGCAUAAAUACACAGUAAGGCUUCUGGCUCCAUAUUAUUCUAUUAAAGGCCAGGUUCAAUAAAAUUGUUAAUUUAUUAGGUAUUUACUUGUACCAGGCACUGUCGAUUAUGAAAAUAGAAAACAAGAUUCUUGUUAACUUGGGAAUUACUUUUUGGAGGGAGGGUGGAAAAAUCUCAAACUGCAGGCAGAUUAUUGGUAGAAUGUACAAGUCUAUAUGUAGUGCGAUUUUUGAGUUUUUAAGCUGAUCCCGUGAACCCCACAAUUCUUCCUUGCUCUGUGUGCUUGUACAUGAAAUCAUAUUAGGAGAAAUGCAUUUUUCAAUUUCAGUUAGUUCCGUGUGAGCUUGUCACAAAGGAAUUCCCCAUUCAACAUUUCCUUAAAGGAGGUUUGCGUUGGAUUGGGCAUGUCUUGGGCAAGUCGUCGAAACUCACUGGAUUUUCUCAUUCUACUACGUAAAAUGAGGAAGCUGCAUCUGAUGGCCUCCUGGUCCAGUUCUAAAAUCUCGUGAUUCAAAUGGCGGGGUUGUAUGGACAGACCUAGAGGAAGAUCAGUGGUGGUUGGAAGAGCCUUCAGGACGUUGUGGCAAGGGUGAGUGUUACAGAGCGAAUGUUAGUGUACCACCCACCCCAAGUCUUACGCUGAAACCUAAUCUCCAAUGUGGUAGCCUUUGGAGGUGGGGCUUUGGGGAAGUGAUUAGGUUGUGAGGGCAGAGACUUAUAAAACCAAUCCCAAUUGCUCCCUUACCCCUCGUGCCAUGUGAGGACACAACGAGAAGAUGGUUGGCUGUGAACCAGGAAGAGAGUUCUCACCAGACAUCAAAUCUGCCAGCAAGCUUAUCUUGGACUUUCUAGCCUCCAGCAUCAUUGGCACCGUGAGAAAUAAAUUUCUGUUGAUUAGAAGCCGCCCCAUUGAUGGGAUUCGGUUACAGCAGCCCAAACAGAUCUGUCCCACAGGAGACCAGCAGCACAGCUGAAGCUCGGGUACCUGGGGAAGGGCUGUGUCGUGGCCUCCUGUGAUCAAUACAGAUGUGGCAAGUACGUGGAAAACAACGCGACUGUAAAAACAAAAGAGAGACUUACUAACCCUAACUCCGAUAGUUCUGCAGUAACUUCUCGGCUCUUCCGUCUUCCCACAAAGGCAUUUGUGCUCCGCCCUACUCAUCCGCUGGUCUUUUUAUUUUUCACUGAUAUCCCCUGUUAGUUUUGUGGGAUAUGGCUCAGAAUGCGCGAAAGAGGAUUAGAGCUUUUUUCUUUUUCUUUUUUUUUUUUUUACGGUCCUUCUGUACCCUAAGAUUCUAUGCGUCCGGGAUCGCUGUGGAUCAGUGAACGACCAUUGGAAUAAGGCUGAGCUAUGAGGAAAAAAACAAGUCAGAAUAACAUAGCAGAUGAAGAAAGCUCUUUCGUGCUGAGCUGACUGUUCUCCAAGCCACCAGAGACCGUAGCCGAUCAUUUGAGGGAAAAAGGCAAAGAAAGAAAAGAUAAGAGAAUUGCACUGUUCGGUUUUCGGUAAAAAAGUAUUGUUCAGUUUCCUUUUUUUCAGGGUCUGGUCAACAAAAUUAGCGCAGGAACAUACAUCUGGACAAAUCACCAAACGUCGCGGCCACUUCUUUUUGACAUCUGCUUCCUUUUCUCGAUCUCAACGUGAGUUUUUCUUUCUCGUCAAGGGAGUCGGUGCAAUGAGGUCGCCGGCUUGCUUGACCAGGACUCCAGGACUCCUGACAGCUGAUGAAACAGAUUUCGGUGCCUUGUGCGGCCAGUUUGCAAUACGGAAAAGUCCCCUGCGCUUGGAGUAAUAUUUAUUGGCGGAUACACCCUUAAGGUGGAAGGAAAUCCCGCCCCCAUACCUGGUUUUCUGACAGUCUUUCCUUUUUUUUUUUGUCUUUGUUUUCAAAAACCGGGCACCCUUCCCCUCAACGGGCCCGAUACCACGUCGGUGUGAAGGACUAGUCCGUACCCUGGUGACGGAAGGUCUAUUCUUAUCCCAGCCUCUUGGGAAAUACCCUCUGGCCCGUCACUCUUCUCUGUAAAACUGAGACUAAUUUAAAGAUAAAUUGUCCGGAGCUCCCGUGAAGCAGAAGCAAAGAUAAAGUUAAUGGGAAUGUGAUUCGAUUUAUAAAAAUCUGAUUUACGCACAACUUUUCAGUAGCACAUUUAUAACAUCAAAUGGGGAACAUCUGUACCAAAGGAAACAACAAAUUCCUUGAGCUUUCAUUAUGAAAAGAAAUCAAAUCGUGAGGAAAGACAAGAUGUACAGGCAAUUACUCAGUAUCAGCAUCGUGGCUGACAAGCUCCACCACAGCUGGUCGAGGAAAAUAAUUACAUUCCUGGAACCGCAAGCUUGUUCCCUCUUUAUGGUGAU